rnacentral:rRNA from 1 species
UGCCAGCAGCCGCGGUAAUACGUAGGGGGCGAGCGUUAUUCGGAAUUACUGGGCGUAAAGGGUGCGUAGGCGGCCCAUCAAGUUAGACGUGAAAGCCCCGGGCUCAACCUGGGAAUUGCGUUUAAUACUGGUGAGCUAGAGUACGAGAGAGGAAAGUGGAAUUCCUAGUGUAGAGGUGAAAUUCGUAGAUAUUAGGAAGAACACCAGUGGCGAAGGCGACUUUCUGGUUCGUAACUGAUGCUGAGGCACGAAAGCGCGGGGAGCAAACAGGAUUAGAUA